CGGGGUGAGUAAUGUCUGGGAAACUGCCUGAUGGAGGGGGAUAACUACUGGAAACGGUAGCUAAUACCGCAUAACGUCGCAAGACCAAAGAGGGGGACCUUCGGGCCUCUUGCCAUCGGAUGUGCCCAGAUGGGAUUAGCUAGUAGGUGGGGUAACGGCUCACCUAGGCGACGAUCUCUAGCUGGUCUGAGAGGAUGACCAGCCACACUGGAACUGAGACACGGUCCAG
rnacentral:rRNA from 1 species